CCCGUCCGCCACCCCUCCUAGGUUCCUCCGUUCCUUCCUCCCUUGGCUCAGUGACUCACACCAUCCGCGACCGAGAUGGAUGAUUCUUUGUCUUACCAUCAAGGGAACACUCCAAGUAGCACUCCAACUUUGUCAAUUGAUGAAUCAGUGGGACAAAAAAGAAAACUUCCAAACAGUGGAUUUCCACCGAAACCAACUGCUCCAAGAUCUGAGGUAUGGAAUCAUUUCACUAAAUUGGAGGACAACAAGGAUAAGUGUAAAUGUAAUUACUGCCAUAAAGAAUUUAAGUGUGUAUCAACGAGUGGCACUAGUACAUUGAAAUCACAUAAUCAAAGAUGUGCUGCAUAUAAGGACCACCUAGAUAGUACAACUCAAAAAAAUCUAACAAUACUUGAAAGUGCAAGUGUUGUUAAAGGUGGUAGUAGUAAUCUUGUGGCGGUUGGGUUUAAUCAAGAUGCUUGUAGGAGGGCAACUGUUAAGAUGAUUAUUUUGGAUGAA